CUAAGAAUAUUCCGCAAUGGACGGAAGUCUGACGGAGCGACGCCGCGUGGAUGAAGAAGGCCGAAAGGUUGUAAAGUUCUUUUGCUGGGGAAGAAUAACCGCAGGAGGGAAUGCCUGUGGGAUGACAAGAACCGGCGAAUAAGCCCCGGCCAACUACGUGCCAGCAGCCGCGGUAACACGUAGGGGGCGAGCGUUGUUCGGAAUUACUGGGCGUAAAGGGCAUGUAGGCGGCUUGGAAAGCCUGGCGUGAAAGUCUGCAUCUUAACUGCAGGGGUGCGCUGGGAACUGCUGAGCUUGAGUGACGGAGAGGGAGCUGGAAUUCCUGGUGUAGGGGUGAAAUCUGUAGAUAUCAGGAAGAACGCCGAUGGCGAAGGCAAGCUCCUGGCCGAUGACUGACGCUGAGGUGCGAAAGUGUGGGGAUCAAACAGGAUUAGAUACCCUGGUAGUCCACACAGUCAACGAUGUGCACUAGGUGCUGGGGCGGUAGCUUCGGUGCCGGAGCGAACGUGGUAAGUGCACCGCCUGGGGAGUAUGCUCGCAAGGGUG
rnacentral:rRNA from 1 species